UACGUAGGGUGCAAGCGUUAAUCGGAAUUACUGGGCGUAAAGAGCUCGUAGGCGGUUUGUCGCGUCUGCCGUGAAAGUCCGGGGCUCAACUCCGGAUCUGCGGUGGGUACGGGCAGACUAGAGUGAUGUAGGGGAGACUGGAAUUCCUGGUGUAGCGGUGAAAUGCGCAGAUAUCAGGAGGAACACCGAUGGCGAAGGCAGGUCUCUGGGCUGUAACUGACGCUGAGGAGCGAAAGCAUGGGGAGCGAACAGG
rnacentral:rRNA from 1 species